rnacentral:pre_miRNA from 1 species
UGCAGGGGGACGAGGAGAUGGCAAGAUGUUGGCAUAGCUGUUUACAGUUUCUGGUUCGGCUGUGCUGACAAACUGCCGUUUCCCGUUCACCCGAUUACAAC